rnacentral:rRNA from 1 species
UAGGGAAUCUUCGGCAAUGGACGAAAGUCUGACCGAGCAACGCCGCGUGAGUGAAGAAGGUUUUCGGAUCGUAAAACUCUGUUGUUAGAGAAGAACAAGGACGUUAGUAACUGAACGUCCCCUGACGGUAUCUAACCAGAAAGCCACGGCUAACUACGUGCCAGCAGCCGCGGUAAUACGUAGGUGGCAAGCGUUGUCCGGAUUUAUUGGGCGUAAAGCGAGCGCAGGCGGUUUCUUAAGUCUGAUGUGAAAGCCCCCGGCUCAACCGGGGAGGGUCAUUAGAAACUGGGAGACGUGAGUGCAGAAGAGGAGAGUGGAAUUCCAUGUGUAGCGGUGAAAUGCGUAGAUAUAUGGAAGAACACCAGUGGCGAAGGCGGCUCUCUGGUCUGUAACUGGCGCUGAGGCUCGAAAGCGUGGGGAGCAAACAGG